rnacentral:lncRNA from 1 species
UUAUAUUUAGUUGGAAUCAUAAUCCUAACAAUUUACAGUCAUCUAAAUAGAAAGCAAAUCAUGUGAGCAGGCAAGUCCGACGGAAACAAAUGAAGUCAAACAAAAUAAUUUGAAAACCAUGACACAAGAUCUGGAAAUUAGAAAGAUAGGUAAAGUUAGAAUAUGACCUCUUAAUAGCAACUUCUUUAUCUUAAACAUGAAAAAAAAACUCCAUUGAAAACCUGAUCUUUGAAUCAACGACCAAAGCAACUGGCCAGAAAACGUGAGCUAAAUGUAUGGAACUCUCGAACCAAGACCGGAGCUCAACGGACCUAGAUCUGUCCGCCAGCCUCGAACGGAACUGAGCAAACCCAACGAACAGAGCUAGCGGUCUUCUCUCACUGUUUCUGCUUCCGUUUCGGACUGAAGAUGAUAGCCGGUGGUCACUGGUUGUUUUGGGGUGAAGUGAAAACCNNN